AACGAACGCUGGCGGCAUGCCUAACACAUGCAAGUCGAACGAAGUCUUCGGACUUAGUGGCGCACGGGUGCGUAACGCGUGGGAAUCUGCCCUUGGGUACGGAAUAACUCAGAGAAAUUUGUGCUAAUACCGUAUAAUGUCUUCGGACCAAAGAUUUAUCGCCCAAGGAUGAGCCCGCGUAAGAUUAGCUAGUUGGUGGGGUAAAAGCCUACCAAGGCGACGAUCUUUAGCUGGUCUGAGAGGAUGAUCAGCCACACUGGGAAUGAGACACGGCCCAGACUCCUACGGGAGGCAGCAGUGGGGAAUAUUGGACAAUGGGCGAAAGCCUGAUCCAGCAAUGCCGCGUGAGUGAUGAAGGCCCUAGGGUUGUAAAGCUCUUUUAACAGGGAUGAUAAUGACAGUACCUGGAGAAUAAGCUCCGGCUAACUCCGUG
rnacentral:rRNA from 1 species